AUUGAACGCUGGCGGCAGGCCUAACACAUGCAAGUCGAGCGGAUGAAGGGAGCUUGCUCCUGGAUUCAGCGGCGGACGGGUGAGUAAUGCCUAGGAAUCUGCCUGGUAGUGGGGGAUAACGUCCGGAAACGGGCGCUAAUACCGCAUACGUCCUGAGGGAGAAAGUGGGGGAUCUUCGGACCUCACGCUAUCAGAUGAGCCUAGGUCGGAUUAGCUAGUUGGUGGGGUAAAGGCCUACCAAGGCGACGAUCCGUAACUGGUCUGAGAGGAUGAUCAGUCACACUGGAACUGAGACACGGGCCAGACUCCUACGGGAGGCAGCAGUGGGGAAUAUUGGACAAUGGGCGAAAGCCUGAUCCAGCCAUGCCGCGUGUGUGAAGAAGGUCUUCGGAUUGUAAAGCACUUUAAGUUGGGAGGAAGGGCAGUAAGUUAAUACCUUGCUGUUUGGACGUUACCAACAGAAUAAGCACCGGCUAACUUCGU
rnacentral:rRNA from 1 species